rnacentral:rRNA from 1 species
UCCGUAGGUGAACCUGCGGAGGGAUCAUUACUGAGUUUACGCUCUAUAACCCUUUGUGAACAUACCU